rnacentral:rRNA from 1 species
AGAGUUUGAUCAUGGCUCAGAGCGAACGCUGGCGGCAGGCCUAAAACAUGCAAGUCGAACGGAUCCUUCGGGAUUAGUGGCGGACGGGUGAGUAACACGUGGGAACGUGCCUUUUGGUUCGGAACAACUCAGGGAAACUUGAGCUAAUACCGAAUGUGCCCUUCGGGGGAAAGAUUUAUCGCCAUUAGAGCGGCCCGCGUCUGAUUAGCUUGUUGGUGAGGUAAAGGCUCACCAAGGCGACGAUCAGUAGCUGGUCUGAGAGGAUGAUCAGCCACACUGGGACUGAGACACGGCCCAGACUCCUACGGGAGGCAGCAGUUAGGAAUCUUGCGCAAUGGGGGAAACCCUGACGCAGCCAUGCCGCGUGAAUGAUGAAGGUCUUAGGAUUGUAAAAUUCUUUCAGCGGGGACGAUAAUGACGGUACCCGCAGAAGAAGCCCCGGCUAACUUCGUG